rnacentral:rRNA from 1 species
UACGUAGGGUGCAAGCGUUACUCGGAAUUACUGGGCGUAAAGCGUGCGUAGGCGGUGAUGUAAGACAGAUGUGAAAUCCCCGGGCUCAACCUGGGAACUGCAUUUGUGACUGCAUCGCUGGAGUGCGGGAGAGGGGGAUGGAAUUCCGCGUGUAGCAGUGAAAUGCGUAGAUAUGCGGAGGAACACCGAUGGCGAAGGCAAUCCCCUGGGCCUGCACUGACGCUCAUGCACGAAAGCGUGGGGAGCAAACAGG